rnacentral:rRNA from 1 species
UCUGGUUGAUCCUGCCAGUAGUCAUAUGCUUGUCUCAAAGAUUAAGCCAUGCAUGUCUAAGUAUAAAUAGUAUACAGUGAAACUGCGAAUGGCUCAUUAAAACAGUUAUAGUUUAUUUGAUAAUUGAAAAUUACAUGGAUAACCGUGGUAAUUCUAGAGCUAAUACAUGCUUAAAGGCCCGACUUUUUGGAAGGGUUGUAUUUAUUAGACUGAAGCCAAUAUUCUUUGUGUCUAUUGUGGUGAUUCAUAAUAACUGAUCGAAUCUCUUAUUGAGAUAAAUCAUUCAGGUUUCUGCCCUAUCAGCUUUCGAUGGUAGUGUAUUGGACUACCAUGGCAGUAACGGGUAACGAAGAAUUAGGGUUCGAUUUCGGAGAGGGAGCAUGAGAAACGGCUACCACAUCUAAGGAAGGCAGCAGGCGCGUAAAUUACCCAAUCCUGACUCAGGGAGGUAGUGACAAGAAAUAGCAAACUGGGGACCUCACGGUCUCACGGUAUUGCAAUGAGAACAAUUUAAAACACUUAGCGAGGAUCAAGUGGAGGACAAGUCUGGUGCCAGCACCCGCGGUAAUUCCAGCUCCACUAGCGUAUAUUAAAGUUGUUGCAGUUAAAAAGCUCGUAGUUGAACCUCUGUCUGGGGCUAAUUUUGGCUUAGGUCAGGUUAGUUCUAGGCAUCCGCCUACAAGACUUAGAGGGCAUUUACUUGUUCACUAGGAGGAGUAGGCAUUUUACUUUGAAAAAAUUAGAGUGUUUAAGGCAGGCAAUAGCUCGCAUAUAUUAGCAUGGAAUAAUAGAAUAGGACACUUUUCCAUUUCGUUGGUUAUCGGAAUCGUGUAAUGAUUAAUAGGGACAGUUGUGGGCAUUUGUAUUUAAUUGUCAGAGGUGAAAUUCUUGGAUUUAUUAAAGACAAACUAACGCGAAAGCAUUUGCCAAGGAUGUUUUCAUUAAUCAAGAACGAAAGUUAGGGGAUCAAAGACGAUCAGAUACCGUCCUAGUCUUAACUAUAAACUAUUCCGACUCAAUGUUUGACUGGCUUAUAUAACCAGUUGAGCGUUGUAUGAGAAAUCAAAGUCUUUAGGUUCUGGGGGGAGUAUGGUUGCAAAGCUGAAACUUAAAGGAAUUGACGGAAGAGCACAACCAGGAGUGGAUUCUGCGGCUUAAUUUGACUCAACACGGGGAAACUUACCAGGUUAAAACAAUAGUGGGAUUGACAGUUUGAGAGCGCUUUCUUGAUUUGUUGGGUGGUGGUGCAUGGCCGUUCUUAGUUGGUGGAGU